GACGAACGCUGGCGGCGUGCCUAAUACAUGCAAGUAGAACGCUGAAGAGAGGAGCUUGCUCUUCUUGGAUGAGUUGUGAACGGGUGAGUAACGCGUAGGUAACCUGCCUGGUAGCGGGGGAUAACUAUUGGAAACGAUAGCUAAUACCGCAUAAAAUUGAUUAUUGCAUGAUAAUUAAUUGAAAGAUGCAAUUGCAUCACUACCAGAUGGACCUGCGUUGUAUUAGCUAGUUGGUGAGGUAACGGCUCACCAAGGCGACGAUACAUAGCCGACCUGAGAGGGUGAUCGGCCACACUGGGACUGAGACACGGCCCAGACUCCUACGGGAGGCAGCAGUAGGGAAUCUUCGGCAAUGGGGGGAACCCUGACCGAGCAACGCCGCGUGAGUGAAGAAGGUUUUCGGAUCGUAAAGCUCUGUUGUAAGAGAAGAACGGGUGUGAGAGUGGAAAGUUCACACUG
rnacentral:rRNA from 1 species